rnacentral:ncRNA from 1 species
UUAGUUUGAUUCUAGCUUAAAAUUAGCUUUUCCUGAGAAAAACACAUGCAAACUUUUAUAAUCCCGUGAAAAACCAUUUUUAGUUUAAAAUUUAAUAUUAUUAAUUUAAAAUAUGGUAAAAGAUCAAUUUAACAAUAAUUAUACCUUAAAGAAAUCUCACGCCUGCAGUGAUCAAUCCUGUUCCGUCUAGAAAUAGAGCCACGGCUACAGAAAAUUUAGAGUUGGUGAAAUCCGUGCCAGCUACCGCGGUUAAACGGCAGACUCAAGCUAAUUCCUUCGGAAACUACGAUAAUAUAGAUAUAAACAAUUUCAAAAGAAGUCUAAUUCUACCAAUUUGUUCAAAACCAAAUAUAUCUUCCUUUAUACAUCGUGAAAGCCCAAAUAAAAACAAGGAUUAGAUACCCUUUUAUUCUGGGCCCAAAAUUAUCCAGGGCACUACAAACACAGGUUUAAAACCCAAAGAACUUGGCGGUACCUAAAUCCAAUCAGGGGAACCUGUCCUUUAAAUCGACAAUCCACGCAAAUACUACCUUUUCUAGAAUAUACAGCCUGUAUACUGCCGUCGUCAGCCCACCACAAAAAUGUUAGUGAGCCAAAAGAUUCUUAAUCCUUACGUCAGGUCAAAGUGCAGCUUAUGAAAAGGAAGAGAUGGGUUACAAUUUUAAAUCUAAAUAUGGAUUAUUAAUGAAAAUAAAUAUAAAAGUGGACUUGAAAGUAAUUAAAAAUAACUUAUUUUAAUGAAUAUGGCAACCUAAGGUGUGCACACAUCGCCCGUCACUCUCGCCGAAAGGGGAGAUAAGUCGUAACAUAGCAGGUGUAAUGGAAAUUGCACCUU